rnacentral:lncRNA from 1 species
GUGUUUGACUAUUUCUCAAAGCACUGCUUGUGCAUUUUCUCAAUGGAUGCUUUCCAACAGCUCUUUCAGAAGAAGCCUGGUGGGAUGGUGAUUUAGUUCAGUGGUGUCACCGCCUGCCUCACAAGUACAAGGACCUGAGUUCAAUCCCUGGUACAAAAAAAAAAAAAGAAGAAGCCUGAUGGAAAAGCUGAAGGACAGGUGAACAAGAUCACCUACAACUCUGAGCAUUUACUGGAUUUUUAUUUGGGAAAACUCUCAAUUGCUCUGAUCCUAACACCUCAUUGUAAAGUAUCAAGCAAGACAAUCGCAUCGUUUCCUCAGGAUCUAAAAACCUCACUUCCCUCAGUAUUUCACCACAUUUCCCUUCCUUUAAAUCACCAUGUAAGGACCAUCUCCUUCAUCAAACUGCUUCCUAGGCAGCCUUUACCUAGAACCUACACUACGGCAGUCACGAGACCAAGAACUGAGGUUCAUAUACAAAUAAGAUACAGGUGCUGUUUCCAAGAAACUCGCAGCCCAUGAGGGUACUGGACUGUGCCAUGUGCUCCGUCCUCUGAGAGAAGAAUGUCUACAGGUGUAAGUUUCCCAUCCUUAUAAUGACAACUGAGAUAAGUCGACUUGUAAAGAGAACUUUUCCAAGUUUCAGUCUAUGGCUGAUCUGUCCCAUUGUCGUGGGCCUGUCACAUCAGGGCCACGUGACAGAGCAAAACCCACUCACUUGAUACCUGGAAAAUGAAAAUAAAAGGAAGAAGGGUCUGGGUCUCACAGAUCUGGCCUAGCG